rnacentral:rRNA from 1 species
CCUACGGGAGGCAGCAGUGGGGAAUAUUGCGCAAUGGGCGAAAGCCUGACGCAGCGACGCCGCGUGAGGGAUGAAGGUCUUCGGAUCGUAAACCUCUGUCAGCAGGGAAGAACGGUCACUGUGCUAAUCAGCAGUGAAUUGACGGUACCUGCAAAGGAAGCACCGGCUAACUCCGUGCCAGCAGCCGCGGUAAUACGGAGGGUGCGAGCGUUAGUCGGAAUUACUGGGCGUAAGGCGCUCGUAGGCGGUAUGGUAAGUCCAGGGUGAAAUCCCCGCGCUCAACGUGGGAACUGCCUUUGAAACUGGCAAGCUGGAGGGUGUGAGAGGAUAGUGGAAUGCCAGGUGGAGGAGGGAAAUCCGUAGAUAUCUGGAGGAACAUCAGUGGCGAAGGCGACUAUCUGGCACAUAACUGACGCUGAGGAGCGAAAGCGUGGGUAGCAAACAGGAUUAGAUACCCUAGUAGUC